UACGUAGGGUGCAAGCGUUAAUCGGAAUUACUGGGCGUAAAGCGUGCGCAGGCGGCUUUGCAAGACAGAUGUGAAAUCCCCGGGCUUAACCUGGGAACUGCAUUUGUGACUGCAUGGCUAGAGUGCGGCCAGAGGGGGAUGGAAUUCCGCGUGUAGCAGUGAAAUGCGUAGAUAUGCGGAGGAACACCGAUGGCGAAGGCAAUCCCCUGGGCCUGCACUGACGCUCAUGCACGAAAGCGUGGGGAGCAAACAGG
rnacentral:rRNA from 1 species